ACCACCCGAAAGGGUGGCUAAUACCGCAUAAAUUCUGAGGAAGAAAGCUGGGGACCUAGGAAUAGGCCUAGCGCUUUUUGAGCGGCCGAUGUCGGAUUAGCUAGUUGGUGAGGUAAAGGCUCACCAAGGCGAAGAUCUGUAGCGGGUCUGAGAGGAUGAUCCGCCACACUGGGACUGAGACACGGCCCAG
rnacentral:rRNA from 1 species